GACCUUGUAGCUCAGAACGUAGAGCGUCGUUCUAGAAAUGCGAAGGUCGCGGAUUCGAUUCCCGGCCGUGGUCA
rnacentral:tRNA from 1 species